rnacentral:rRNA from 1 species
CCUACGUGCGUGCAGCAGUGGGGAAUAUUGGACAAUGGGCGAAAGCCUGAUCCAGCCAUGCCGCGUGUGUGAAGAAGGCCUUCGGGUUGUAAAGCACUUUCAGUGGGGAAGAAAGCCUUGGGGCUAAUACCCUCGAGGAAGGACAUCACCCACAGAAGAAGCACCGGCUAACUCCGUGCCAGCAGCCGCGGUAAUACGGAGGGUGCGAGCGUUAAUCGGAAUUACUGGGCGUAAAGCGCGCGUAGGCGGUCUGAUAAGCCGGUUGUGAAAGCCCCGGGCUCAACCUGGGAACGGCAUCCGGAACUGUCAGGCUAGAGUGCAGGAGAGGAAGGUAGAAUUCCCGGUGUAGCGGUGAAAUGCGUAGAGAUCGGGAGGAAUACCAGUGGCGAAGGCGGCCUUCUGGACUGACACUGACGCUGAGGUGCGAAAGCGUGGGUAGCAAACAGGAUUAGAUACCCCGGUAGC